GACAGAGGGGGCAAGCGUUGCUCGGAAUUACUGGGCGUAAAGGGCGCGUAGGCGGGAUGGCAAGUCGGUCGUGAAAUCCCUCGGCUCAACCGAGGAACGUCGAUCGAUACUGCUGUUCUUGAGGAUUGCAGAGGAGACUGGAAUUCCCGGUGUAGCGGUGAAAUGUGUAGAGAUCGGGAGGAACACCGGUGGCGAAGGCAGGUCUCUGGGCCAUUACUGACACUGAGAAGCGAAAGCAUGGGGAGCGAACAGG
rnacentral:rRNA from 1 species